GGCCUAUUAGCUCAGUUGGUUGAGCUUCGUGCUAAUAACGCGAAAGUCACAAGUUCGAAACCUGUAUAGGCCA
rnacentral:tRNA from 1 species